UGAAGGUGCAAGCGUUAUCCGGAAUUAUUGGGCGUAAAGCGUCAGCAAUCUGUUUUUUAAGUCGAGUAUAAAAUCUAUGGGCUCAACCCAUAGUCUGUGCUCGAUACUGGAAGACUUGAGGUCGGUAGAGGUUAUAGGAAUUCUCGGUGUAGUAGUGAAAUGCGUUAAUAUCGAGAAGAACGCCAUUAGCGAAGGCUUAUAACUGGGCCGCACCUGACGACCAGUGACGAAAGCGUGGGUAGCGAACGGGGGAUUAGAUACCCCGGUAGUCCACGCUGUAAACGAUGGAUACUAGGUUUUGGGAGUGUCGACCCCUCUCAGAACCGUAAGCAAACGCGUUAAGUAUCUCGCCUGGGAAGUACGGUCGCAAGACUA
rnacentral:rRNA from 1 species